UUUGGCUUAAACUUGUCAUUAGGAAUCAUGGUAUUAAAAACUUAUUGCACCAUGUAACGACAACAAAUAACAACAACAAAAAAUUACACAAUCUUGUAUUCAGGGUUCAUACACCUUUUCCAAAGUGAAAUUCGAGCACUUUUCAAGCAUUUUCAAGGUCGAUUUUCAUAUUUCUACGAAUACAUACGUUGAAUGAGAUCGUAUUAUGCUAUAAACAACCCAAAUCGUGUUUUGUAAUAACAGAAGGAUAAGAAAUUAUUGGACACACAAGAUAUAUGGUUUAAAAUGUGAAAUGGGUUUGUUGUGAGAAAAAAGAUCUGAUACAAUCUAAGCCUUUUCAAGCACUUUAUCCAAAAUUCAAGCACUUUUCAAACCUUGAGAACACAACUUUAAAAUUCAAGCAUUGUUAAGGAUUUCGGGCACCCGGACGAGCCCUGUACAUUGGUCCCUGAGAGUCUUGUUUUCACCGUGUUAUUCUCUUGGCCACCGGGACGCGGUUGUCGUGGGGAAAUGACGACUCGUUUUACGGCACAAACGAACGAGGCGAGUGACGGAAAAAUGAUAAACAAGAGUGAACAUUCAGUCCAUGGAGAGAGAGAGAGAGAGAGAGAGAGAACAAAAACAAACUCUGGCACUUGUUGGGAAGCUUCAACAACGAAAUGCAGUUGUCUUCUUUCUACCUGAUCAUGCUGUUGACAACUUCCUCCGGAGCGCUGAGGUGAAAGUACCUGUGUCCUCACCGGGCGUCUUGCGACUGCCGCGUCUUUACGACAGUGACCAAACAGUAAUACCACCUGUAACCGCUAGGGGAGGGGGGGCACGGAAGUUGCCUGUCGCCGCUCUGUAAUCGAUUACUUGAGAAAAUAAUCAUUAGGGCUGCAACUAACGAUUGUUUUAAUAAUCUAAUAAAUUGAUUAUUUUCCUCAAUUAGUCAAUUAGUUUUUUGCUUAAAAUGUCAUUAAAUUGUAAAAAAUCUUGAUCCUUGUGCCCCAAAAAACGAGAUGAUGUUUUGUGAUUAUCCAAACACCAAAGCUAUUUAGUUCACUGUCAGAGAGGAGCAAAGAAACUAGAACAUAUUCACAUUUAAGAAGCUGAAAUCAGAGAAUUUUGACUUUCUUUUUUUUUUUUUUUUU